UCACGCUAUCAGAUGAGCCUGCGUAAGAUUAGCUUGUUGGUAGGGUAAAAGCCUACCAAGGCAACGAUCUUUAGCUGGUCUGAGAGGAUGAUCAGCCACAUCGGGACUGAGACACGGCCCGAACUCCUACGGGAGGCAGCAGUGGGGAAUAUUGGACAAUGGGGGCAACCCUGAUCCAGCAAUACCGCGUGUGUGAAGAAGGCCUGAGGGUUGUAAAGCACUUUCAAUUGGGAAGAUUAUGACGUUAACUUUAGAAGAAGCACCGGCUAACUCCGUGCCAGCAGCCGCGGUAAUACGGAGGGUGCAAGCGUUAAUCGGAAUUACUGGGCGUAAAGCGUGCGUAGGCGGUUUAUUAAGUCAGAUGUGAAAGCCCCGGGCUUAACCUGGGAACUGCAUUUGAAACUGGUCAACUAGAGUAUGGUAGAGGAAAGUGGAAUUUCUGGUGUAGCGGUGAAAUGCGUAGAUAUCAGAAGGAACAUCAAUGGCGAAGGCAGCUUUCUGGACCAAUACUGACGCUGAGGUACGAAAGCGUGGGUAGCAAACAGGAUUAGAUACCCUGGUAGUCCACGCCGUAAACGAUGAUAACUAGCCGUUGGGGGGGGGAUUUACCCCUUAGUGGCGAAGCUAACGCGUUAAGUUAUCCGCCUGGGGAGUACGGCCGCAAGGCUAAAACUCAAAGGAAUUGACGGGGACCCGCACAAGCGGUGGAGCAUGUGGUUUAAUUCGAUGCAACGCGAAGAACCUUACCUGGUCUUGACAUCCUGCGAACUUUCUAGAAAUAGAUUGGUGCCUUCGGGAACGCAGUGACAGGUGCUGCAUGGCUGUCGUCAGCUCGUGUCGUGAGAUGUUGGGUUAAGUCCCGUAACGAGCGCAACCCCUAUCCUUAUUUGCCAGCACAUUAUGGUGGGAACUAUAAGGAGACUGCCGGUGAUAAACCGGAGGAAGGCGGGGACGACGUCAAGUCAUCAUGGCCCUUACGACCAGGGCUACACACGUGCUACAAUGGUCGGUACAGAGGGUCGCUAACCCGCGAGGUCAUGCCAAUCCCAGAAAAANUAUCGUAGUCCGGAUCGGAGUCUGCAACUCGACUCCGUGAAGUCGGAAUCGCUAGUAAUCGCGAAUCAGCAACGUCGCGGUGAAUACGUUCCCGGGUCUUGUACACACCGCCCGUCACACCAUGGGAGUUGGUUGCACCAGAAGUGGGUUGUUUAACCCUUUGGGGAGGGCGUUCACCACGGUGUGGUCAAUGACUAGGGU
rnacentral:rRNA from 1 species